UGGACAUUUAUUUUUAUUCCGUUUCUUCUCAAGGUGAAGACAACUCUUUAUAAAUGUCCUAGAGAAAUAUAGUAGCUUUCUGUUCACCCUUUGCAAGUAAAAUGGGUGGAUCGUUCCACUACUGACACAC
rnacentral:snoRNA from 1 species